CCUACGGGUGGCAGCAGUGAGGAAUAUUGGUCAAUGGACGAGAGUCUGAACCAGCCAAGUAGCGUGAAGGAUGACUGCCCUAUGGGUUGUAAACUUCUUUUAUAUGGGAAUAAAAUGUUCCACGUGUGGGAUUUUGUAUGUACCAUAUGAAGAAGGAUCGGCUAACUCCGUGCCAGCAGCCGCGGUACUACGGAGGAUCCGAGCGUUAUCCGGAUUUAUUGGGUUUAAAGGGAGCGUAGGUGGAUGGUUAAGUCAGUUGGGAAAGUGUGCGGCUCAACCGUAAAAUUGCAGUUGAAACUGGCAGUCUUGAGUAAAGUAGAGGUGGGCGGAAUUCGUGGUGUAGCGGUGAAAUGCUUAGAUAUCACGAAGAACUCCGAUUGCGAAGGCAGCUCACUGGACUGCAACUGACACUGAGGCUCGAAAGUGUGGGUAUCAAACAGGAUUAGAUACCCCAGUAGUC
rnacentral:rRNA from 1 species